AGAUUUCAACUUUUUGUCCCUAUUCGGGCUGGGAAACAUUUUCACUUGAAAAUUCUCAUGAGAUGGAAAAUAGAUUCCCACCCAACUCUGCUCAAUACUGAUAAGUCAAAGAACACCCAGAUAUUUAAAAAAAGAUGAAAUUCAUCCCAGUGCAACGUGCCUGCAGGGCCUAUACAGUAUUUGAGGUCUGUGGAGGGUCUUCUAGAAGCCGAGGGCAGUAAGACACCACACCAAACGACUGAAGCGCUGAUCAAAGAGGACAGCCUGGCUGAAGGGAAGCCAGCCAGCCUGCGAACAGUCUUUGAAAAACUUACAGUCUAAAUAGACAAGACAGACGGUGGAGCAGAGGUACAGAGGAAUCAAGUGACUUGCCCAAUAUCAGCCAGCAAGAGAGGAAGGAGUUUGCAUGUAGCUGUAUACUACGAAUCCUACUAAAUACAGUAGGAGGAAAGCAAUGUUAUUCAUUAUUCAUGUAGCCCUUUGCUUGGUCUGGCUGGGCCCUGCUCUGUUGUACCCUCUGAGAUGCCAGGCUGCUGUCUGCCAACGGACCUCAUGCUGGAGCCAGGAAAGUGCUGCUAAAGCGACACAAACUCUUUCACUUAAGACGACAAAGGAACCAGAUUUUGUACUUUGGGAGGGACUCCAACAUGAGAAUUUCCUCUGCCCUGUUGCUGGGAACAUGUGACUGUGCUAGGGGCUUUGUUUGGGACGGUGAAGCUCCCUCCACAUGAGAGAAGAU